UGGGGGAUAUUGCACAAUGGGCGAAAGCCUGAUGCAGCGACGCCGCGUGGGGGAUGAAGGCCUUCGGGUUGUAAACUUCUUUUGCUCUGAACAAGGCGCACCAUGGGGUGUGUUGAGUGUAGGGGUUGAUUAGCGCCGGCUAACUACGUGCCAGCAGCCGCGGUAAUACGUAGGGCGCGAGCGUUGUCCGGAAUUAUUGGGCGUAAAGGGCUUGUAGGUGGCUGGUUGCGUCUGUCGUGAAAGCUCAUGGCUUAGCUGUGGGUUUGCGGUGGGUACGGGCUGGCUUGAGUGCAGUAGGGGAGGCUGGAAUUCCUGGUGUAGCGGUGGAAUGCGCAGAUAUCAGGAGGAAUACCGGUGGCGAAGGCGGGUCUCUGGGCUGUUACUGACACUGAGGAGCGAAAGCAUGGGGAGCGAACAGG
rnacentral:rRNA from 1 species